rnacentral:misc_RNA from 1 species
GAUUAACAUUUUCAUCACGCGACGCUCGCGGUUCGUGCACGCCGAGCGGAAAAAUUUAUUUCUACCAAGGGCCAAGACGAGAAUCCUGUAAAUUUUUUACAGGUUAAUCGUAAAAGUCUCCGACGCCGGUAAAAUAGUCCUCUCGUUUUGCUCGCUUUCUUCCAUUCGACAAAAUGAAUAUAGUGCCCCGUGGAAUCAUUCGAACGCUUAUCACAGGAAAUUUUCAUGUGGUUCCACUGAAUAUCGAGGC